rnacentral:lncRNA from 1 species
GUGGUGACUGUGAUUGUAGUGUCCCUAUGUAACCUGUGUGACGUGAUUUAGGUUCGUCUCUCGUAACCUUGGUGACGUGUAUUUAGGUGUCUCUAACCUGUGUGAGCGUUAUUUAGGUGUCUCUGUAACCUGUGUGACGUGUAUUUAGUGUCCUCUGUAACCUGUGUGACGUGUAUUAUUAGGUGUCUCUCGCUUAACCUGUGUGACGUGUAUGUAGGUGUCUCUCUGUAACCUGUGUGACGUGUAUUUAGGUGUCUCUGUAACCUGUGUGACGUGUAUUUAGGUGUCUCUGUAACCUGUGUGACGUGUAUUUAGGUGUCUCUCUGUAACCUGUGUGACGUGUAUUUAGGUGGCUCUCUGUAACCUGUGUGACGUGUAUUUAGGUGUCUCUUGUACCUGUGUGACGUGUAUUUAGGGUCUCUCGUAACCUGUGUGACGUGUAUUA